rnacentral:rRNA from 1 species
AGAGUUUGAUCAUGGCUCAGAACGAACGCUGGCGGCAGGCUUAACACAUGCAAGUCGAACGGGCCCUUCGGGGUCAGUGGCAGACGGGUGAGUAACACGUGGGAACGUACCUUUCAGUUCGGAAUAACCCAGGGAAACUUGGGCUAAGACCGGAUACGCCCUUUUGGGGAAAGAUUUAUCGCUGAGAGAUCGGCCCGCGUCUGAUUAGCUAGUUGGUGAGGUAAAGGCUCACCAAGGCGACGAUCAGUAGCUGGUCUGAGAGGAUGAUCAGCCACAUUGGGACUGAGACACGGCCCAAACUCCUACGGGAGGCAGCAGUGGGGAAUAUUGGACAAUGGGCGCAAGCCUGAUCCAGCCAUGCCGCGUGAGUGAUGAAGGCCUUAGGGUUGUAAAGCUCUUUCGGCGGGGACGAUAAUGACGGUACCCGCAGAAGAAGCCCCGGCUAACUUCGUGCCAGCAGCCGCGGUAAUACGAAGGGGGCUAGCGUUGUUCGGAAUCACUGGGCGUAAAGGGCGCGUAGGCGGCUUGAUAAGUCGGGGGUGAAAGCCUGUGGCUCAACCACAGAAUUGCCUUCGAUACUGUCUGGCUCGAGACCGGAAGAGGUAAGUGGAACUGCGAGUGUAGAGGUGAAAUUCGUAGAUAUUCGCAAGAACACCAGUGGCGAAGGCGGCUUACUGGUCCGGUUCUGACGCUGAGGCGCGAAAGCGUGGGGAGCAAACAGGAUUAGAUACCCUAGUAGUCC